rnacentral:rRNA from 1 species
CAAGCGGUGGAGCAUGUGGUUUAAUUCGAUGCAACGCGAAGAACCUUACCUGGUCUUGACAUCCACGGAAGUUUUCAGAGAUGAGAAUGUGCCUUCGGGAACCGUGAGACAGGUGCUGCAUGGCUGUCGUCAGCUCGUGUUGUGAAAUGUUGGGUUAAGUCCCGCAACGAGCGCAACCCUUAUCCUUUGUUGCCAGCGGUCCGGCCGGGAACUCAAAGGAGACUGCCAGUGAUAAACUGGAGGAAGGUGGGGAUGACGUCAAGUCAUCAUGGCCCUUACGACCAGGGCUACACACGUGCUACAAUGGCGCAUACAAAGAGAAGCGACCUCGCGAGAGCAAGCGGACCUCAUAAAGUGCGUCGUACUCCGGAUUGGAGUCUGCAACUCGACUCCAUGAAGUCGGAAUCGCUAGUAAUCGUGGAUCAGAAUGCCACGGUGAAUACUUUCCCGGGCCUUGUACACACC